AUGCUUGUGCUGAAAUGAAAGAGAGACAAACACUCCGGAGUUAUUUUGAUCGAUUCAUUUUCGUUGUGAUUGCUAUAAUUAUUAACGACAUCGGUCCAAAAUUCAUUUAUUAAAAUAUUGUAGGCGAUUGCGGAAGAUAAAAGUCGCUGAAAGGUUCUUCAGUAUAAGGAAUCAUUCUUUUCUGUAAGAGUGUUGCAGUAUCUGGUAUUGAGAACGAAAACCUGCGAGUUUCACUUGGGUUGGUGUGGCAGAAUCUACCGGCGAUGCACUUGAACUUUAAAAAAAAACUUAACUGUUGAAAAUGGCGGCGGGAAGGGGAGUGAGGAACAAUGGAAAAAGUUUUGAAAAGUCUUGUACGUUCGGUCACAAAAAGACUAUUUAAUUCUAAAUGGAAAAUCAAAAAAAAGUCUGAAAAUCGCCACAUUAAGGACAGUUUUCUUCAGAGGUACAUGUUACGCAAAAACUGAAAUGAAAAUCUUGACAACCUGCAAUUUCUAAGAAUCAGUUGGAUUGGAAAUCACAUUGGGAUUUUGCCUCAUCAGUACAGAAGAAAAAAUAUUUACUCCUUUUUUGGUCCACUGUGUCGUAGAAACAAGAACUCAAUAGCUUCGCUGUGUUACAGUCCAGCCCGGUUAUGGUUCUCGCUUACUAGUUAUUAUUCGUAUUUACUGGAGAGAUCUGUGCGGAUUCAAUAAAAGGUUUUUAAAAUGUCACAAUUUCUAAUGCCGGACAGUUUAAAUAUAAACGAAAUAACGGGCUUCUCUUGUUUUCCUUAUUCUAACGUUGCUAUAAACCUAAAUAUGCCGUGACAAGGUACAAAAAAAAAAUCAACAGAUACCAGUGAUUAUCUACUUUAUUAGAAGUUUUCCUGGUAUAACUUAUGAAAACGUCUGUUUAAUGCUGAGUCUGAGUGUUUGACGUUAAAAUCUCCAAUGAAAAAUAAAUCGGAGCCUCCCAGGAAUUACUUUAGUUCUGCGAGAGAUAUAAUCAUGUGGAGGAGAAUAACAUGAUUUUUUUUUAAAUAAAUGCCUUCUCUGCGUCCUUAUUUGGUCACUUAGUUUGCAAAGUACAAAUUUUUAAAACGGGACCUCUUCGUGCUCAAAAACUCUGCUGAAGGGGCUGUAACGUGUGUAAUAUUGUAAGGUUGACCUUAAUAGUCUCUCGGCAUCUUUGUAUCCUUGUAUUGGACUUUCGCAGUACGAAAAAGUGGAUCUGUUUUAUUUGGGGUUAACCCGGAAAGUCACUCAAUGUAAGACAGCUUCGUAUUUUAAAAAGUACUUUCUGCAUGCAAGGAGAACUGGGUGUUGAGUUUAUCUGCCCUACCCUGCCGACAGCGACAGUAAGAAGGACUUGGCUUGAAGGUUUAUCACGUUAGUAGUUCGGGUUGUUCUUUCAGUUAAUGCUUUUAUUGCUUUUCAUCCCGCACAAUUUUGCUGAAAAACUCAUAUCCCAGAGUAAUAUGAAGUUGGUUACCUGCCAACAGCAGAUUUGGAUUUGUUUUAAAAUAUCACUGCUGUAUGUGUUAUAAACACAAACAUUAGGUAUUAUUAGGUAUUCCUGCUGUAUGUAACGCUGCAGACUUAGCGAACGAGCUGGCUGCUCAGAAUCUCAGUUCCUGUUGGCAGUAACAGGCUGUCGCUUUACCCGUGCCAGUCUCUUAGUGGGAUUCAUUUCUGAAUCUUCAGCUCGCACAUGCCAUGAAUUCAGGGCUGUUGCUCACCCCCCCCACCCCCGAACUUUAAGAUACCCUGUUCAUUAACUACUAAAUUAAUUUCAGUCUCGAUGAGUUGGGGCAAGAAUGGGGCAGGAGGGGUGGGGUUUCCUUUGGCUUAAUUUUGCCUUGUACUUUAUCAGAUUUUUAUGUUCAAGUAGUCCAGGAGAAAUAUUUGAAUUGAAAAGUCACCCAUGUAAUGAUAUGUAUAUGAAUCAUAUCUUUUGCUUCAAAGCCACUUUAAAGAUAACGUGUGUUGUAUUUUGUUACCGUUAGCUCCGAAUUGUAUUAUCCAUUUCCCCUGCGGUUGCUCAUUUGGAAAUGUGUCAAGUACAGAGACGCCUUACAAGAACGAAUGCAAAUCUUAAAGUCGUUUAAACCAGUUUAAAUCUUGAAACCGUUAGAUUAAUCUUAAUUUGCAAUAAUGAAUAAGCAGAAUGUCAGAAAAUUACUCCUUAAAGAUAUAUGACGGUGUGUGUUGGGGGGGGGGGGGGAUUGCGGUAUAUUUGAACAGUCAAUUUACUUAAGGAUUUUUCUGUGAACAAACAACCCUUGCAUAAAUGGAUAAAUGGACGUGGAGCUGAACCUGUGUGAUGUGGCAAUAAACAGGAGGAGAGGGAGAGAGAUGGGCUGGAGCCGACUUGCCUACAAUGACCUGAAAUGACACAGGAAAUAUACACUUAUGUCAUAAUUCUUUCAGAAAUCAAAUCGUUUUCAGUGCGUAUUUUGUUUGUCUGAAACGGCUGUUUUAUUUCACAGAAAAUGAGGGCAAAAUGAGUGCUAGGCACAUAUUUUUUGCGAAUUAAUAAAGAACUGCCAACUCCAUUUACAAGUUAAUUUUUUGUCGGUUAGAGAAGUGCACACAAUACAUCAUGUGUUACACAAUAUCAGUUUAUCACAUCAGUCAAUUAACUACUACUUUGCUGAAUAAAUUGCCUCCCUGCUAUAGAUAUUUAAUGUGAUAUGUGCAAACUAGCUGAAAAAAAUUAAAGUCACUAGUAUUCGUGCAAUUGGUCAUUUGAACAUGAAGCAUCACAAUUUUACAUGUUAUUAUGUUGCUGUUUCCCAUUAUAUGGCACUUGCCUAAAUGUGUAUGUGGAAAUUAUUCAUUUCCAAAUGUCGACUCUCUAUCAAUUCUGUGUGCAAAUAUACUCCGCGAAAUGUUAUAGUGUAAAAAGUUUAAAGCUUUUCCUUAUUCAGAUACGUUUGCACCCUUGAUCAAUCAUGUAGUGUGUGACAAGCAAAGCACAGAUGCUAUUAAUAAUACAACUGUAGAAUGCUUUACCCAUACAUAUUUUAAAAUGGUCUGUAUUAAUUAAAGAACUCUUUUAUAUUGCACGAAUUACCAAUUCACUGAAGUAAUGCGACCACUUCGUUUCUAAAAUGUGUAUUUUAAAUUAUUUUUCAGCCGACUAUUAUAUUUUUAAAAUAAAGCAUCGUGUAUUUUUAUCUUGAAUUUGGUUUUAACACAGGUUUAAUUACCUGUUACAGAAGUGAAAUGAAUGGUAGUUAGUUUUGCUUUAAUAAUUUGUUUUCAGUCUAAACAGAACAUUUAAAAUAUUUCAUUUAUAACAUAAAGCAUUUUAAAGACGGGGCCUGAACAUGACAGUUCUUAGCUCCAAUGCAAAUAGUAUAUCCAUAAUCAUUGGUUGAGAUCAGUUUCCAACACCAUUUAAUUUGUAAAUACAUUUGUGCUUUUGUGUGCAGUUUAAGAUUAAAAAUGUUCAAAUAGUUUAUAUUUUUUAUUUCAUUUCUAAAAUUGUCGGUAGCUUGGUUUAGGUCAAAACAAUUAUAAUACAUUGCAUAUUUUUGUAUUGUGGAUAAGAGAAAGCGAAAAGGGAAUUUUUUUAAAUGCAUCAAUAUCUCACAAAUAAAGGUCGAUGAAAUAAAACUAUAGCUGUAAAAAUUUAUUGCAACUAUUAUUGUCAAGCUGCUUAUCUGUAUUUUAAAUAUAAUAAAUAAAAUCUACCAUGCUAGUAUUUCGACAGCAACGCUAUCGCCAUUUGUAUUAUUCUGAAAUAAAAUUUAAUUCUGCUAUUGAAAACAAUUUGGGAAUAAUAUUAUGUUUAAUGUUACGUUUAUUGAAAUUCAGCUUUCCCUCGCAAGAAAUAUCCUUUGCACGGAUUGAAAGAACGGUGCAAUAACUAAACAUGCAAACGGAAGACCGCCACACAGUGAAUUUAUUUAUCGGCUCUCAGCAAA